AUUGAACGCUGGCGGCAGGCCUAACACAUGCAAGUCGAGCGCGAAAUUCCUUCGGGAUGAGUAGAGCGGCGGACGGGUGAGUAAUGCGCAGAAAUCUGCCCAGUAGUGGGGGACAACCUGGUGAAAACCAGGCUAAUACCGCAUACGCCCUACGGGGAAAGGCAGGGAUCUUCGGACCUUGCGCUAUUGGAUGAGUCUGCGUCGGAUUAGCUUGUUGGUGAGGUAAUGGCUCACCAAGGCGACGAUCCGUAGCUGGUCUGAGAGGAUGAUCAGCCACACUGGGACUGAGACACGGCCCAGACUCCUACGGGAGGCAGCAGUGGGGAAUAUUGGACAAUGGGCGAAAGCCUGAUCCAGCCAUGCCGCGUGUGUGAAGAAGGCUCUAGGGUUGUAAAGCACUUUCAGUGGGAAGAAAGCUUGUUAGCUAAUAACUGACGAGUGUGACAUUACCCACAGAAGAAGCACCGG
rnacentral:rRNA from 1 species